AGGACGAACGCUGGCGGCGUGCUUAACACAUGCAAGUCGAGCGGUAAGGCCUUUCGGGGUACACGAGCGGCGAACGGGUGAGUAACACGUGGGUGAUCUGCCCUGCACUCUGGGAUAAGCCUGGGAAACUGGGUCUAAUACCGGAUAUGACCUGCUCUCGCAGUGGGGGUGGUGGAAAGAUUUUAUCGGUGCAGGGAUGGGGCCCCGCGGCCUAUCAGCUUUGUUGGUGGGUAAUGGCCUACCGAAGGCGACGACGGGUAGCCGACCUGAGAGGGUGACCGGCCAC
rnacentral:rRNA from 1 species